AGAAUUGCAAAUUCGUGUCUAUGGCUUUUUUUUUUUUUUUUUUUUUUUUUUUU
rnacentral:ribozyme from 12 species